UACGUAGGGUGCAAGCGUUUGUCCGGAAUUAUUGGGCGUAAAGAGCUCGUAGGCGGUUUGUCGCGUCUGCUGUGAAAACCCGAGGCUCAACCUCGGGCCUGCAGCGGGUACGGGCAGACUAGAGUGCGGUAGGGGAGAUUGGAAUUCCUGGUGUAGCGGUGGAAUGCGCAGAUAUCAGGAGGAACACCAAUGGCGAAGGCAGAUCUCUGGGCCGUAACUGACGCUGAGGAGCGAAAGCAUGGGGAGCGAACAGG
rnacentral:rRNA from 1 species